rnacentral:rRNA from 1 species
GACGAACGCUAGCGGCAGGCUUAACACAUGCAAGUCGAGGGGCAGCACGGACUUCGGUCUGGUGGCGACCGGCAAACGGGUGCGGAACACGUACACAAUCUACCUUUAUCUGGGGUAUAGCCCGAAGAAAUUCGGAUUAAUCCCCCAUAAUAUAUUAUAGUGGGAUCACUUCGAUAUUAAAACUCUGGAGGAUAAAGAUGAGUGUGCGUCCCAUUAGCUAGUUGAUAGGGUAACGGCCUACCAAGGCAACGAUGGGUAGCUGGUGUGAGAGCACGACCAGCCACACGGGCACUGAGACACAGGCCCGACUCCUACGGGAGGCAGCAGUGAGGAAUAUUGGUCAAUGGACGCAAGUCUGAACCAGCCAUGCCGCGUGAAGGAUGAAGGCCUUCUGUGUUGUAAACUUCUUUUAUUGGGGAAGAAAAUUACGGUUUCUACUGUAACCGACGGUACCCAAGGAAUAAGCACCGGCUAACUCCGUGCCAGCAGCCGCGGUAA